AUACGGAGGGUGCAAAGCGUUGUUCGGAAUUAUUGGGCGUAAAGCGCGCGUAGGCGGUUUCUUAAGUCUGAUGUGAAAGCCCCGGGCUCAACCUGGGAAGUGCAUUGGAAACUGGGAGACUUGAGUACGGGAGAGGGUAGUGGAAUUCCUAGUGUAGGAGUGAAAUCCGUAGAUAUUAGGAGGAACACCGGUGGCGAAGGCGGCUACCUGGACCGAUACUGACGCUGAGACGCGAAAGCGUGGGGAGC
rnacentral:rRNA from 1 species